UCUUCCUGGAGUCAGGCUUUCUGCUCAGCUCUUUGCCUCAGGAAGUUAGAAGUUGUCUUCUGUCCUGUGCCUUUGGUUCUGGGGAGAACGUUGGUCAUCUCAGCAGCUGCACUAUGGAAAAUACCUACUCUGUUUCAAAGUCAAUAUAGGAAGAGUGGGCUUUGCUGGAUCCUUCCCAGAAGAAUCUCCAUAAAGAUGUGAUGGUGGAGACUAUAGGAACCUCACUGCUAUAGAGUCAUACAGGAUCACCAUGAAAACAGCAAGGCAACAGGUGUCAGAUAUGGCAGAUAUAGCAGGAUGCUAAGAUCUCACAUCCUCAACCUGCAGAAUGAACCAGACAGUGGGAACUGGAAAUGGUAUGCAGAUGUCAAUUAUAAAACCAAACCCCCAGUGACAUAUUACCUCCAGCAGGGCAUCAUUUCCUUAAUCAUCUCAAAUUAUCCCACCAACUGGGAAGUAUUGAUUUCUCUGACUUCAGACCUACAUGCUCGCUUUUUGUUAUAUGAAGCAGAUCAUGAUACAGAAAAACUGUAGGAGCUCCAUGGCAGGUUUUUUAUCUUUCCACACUGGAAUGCUGAUGGAGUGACAGGGAGAGUCUUCACUGAAGACAAGACCUCAGCAGUUAGUGAGGAGAGGGGCUGAUGCCUGCCACCUAUCUGGAACACAUGCAAGAGUGAAGGAGGAAAAUAUCAGAUUUGAGGUGUGUAAAAAGGAGACACAACCAGGAAGAAAGGUUUCAAGAAAAGUAGAAUGCCCUGAAACCUUCCUCAACAGUGACCUCUUUGAAGAUCGCAGGAUUGAAGAAGAGAUAUGAUCCCAGAGGUAGGUAAAUAAACAUAAAGUUGGUUAGGGUUGGGGUUACAGUUAGAGAGUUGGGGGUUAGGGUAUAGGGUUUAGGGUAUAGGGGUAAGGGUUUAGCAUA